UACGUAGGGUGCGAGCGUUAAUCGGAAUGACUGGGCGUAAAGGGCGCGUAGGCGGAUGGCACAGUCAGAUGUGAAAUUCCCGGGCUUAACCUGGGGGCUGCAUUUGAUACGUGUUGUCUAGAGUGAGGAAGAGGGUUGUGGAAUUCCCAGUGUAGAGGUGAAAUUCGUAGAUAUUGGGAAGAACACCGGUGGCGAAGGCGGCAACCUGGUCCUUGACUGACGCUGAGGCGCGAAAGCGUGGGGAGCAAACAGG
rnacentral:rRNA from 1 species